rnacentral:rRNA from 1 species
GAUGAACGCUGGCGGCGUGCCUAAUACAUGCAAGUCGAGCGAACAGACGAGGAGCUUGCUCCUCUGACGUUAGCGGCGGACGGGUGAGUAACACGUGGAUAACCUACCUAUAAGACUGGGAUAACUUCGGGAAACCGGAGCUAAUACCGGAUAAUAUAUUGAACCGCAUGGUUCAAUAGUGAAAGACGGUUUUGCUGUCACUUAUAGAUGGAUCCGCGCCGCAUUAGCUAGUUGGUAAGGUAACGGCUUACCAAGGCGACGAUGCGUAGCCGACCUGAGAGGGUGAUCGGCCACCCUGGAACUGAGACACGGUCCAGACUCCUACGGGAGGCAGCAGUAGGGAAUCUUCCGCAAUGGGCGAAAGCUUGACGGAGCAACGCCGCGUGAGUGAUGAAGGUCUUCGGAUCGUAAAACUCUGUUAUUAGGGAAGAACAAAUGUGUAAGUAACUAUGCACGUCUUGACGGUACCUAAUCAGAAAGCCACGGCUAACUACGUG